UACUCUGAAUAGUUAGAAUCUGGUUCAAGACUCGCCCCAAUCCAUCAGAUUCAGAGACUUGAGAGGCAUAAUUUCAGUCUGGGUUCCCAAAUACACCUUUAUCAGAUUCAGACAUAAUUCCCGAGAGCUUAUUUUGUUUCCAUUUAUUUCCAAGAUUCAAAGUUUUGUGUAUUUGACAAAUGGAUUCAAGAGAACAACAACCAUUAUUUGAUCUUAAUGAACCUGCUAUGGAGGAUGAUGAGAGUGACUUCCUCUUGUGCUUCAAGCCCAAAACGAUUGUCCUAAAUACUGUUGACAAUUUAGUUACAUUCAAGACAACCAUUAUAUCUUCUUCUAGAUCAGUAAAUAAUCAUCAGUUUUCUCAUGCCUCUUCUGGUUCAGCCUUUCAGCCUUUCAUUAAGUCAAAAGGAGAACGGGAGAAAGUAACUAAACUCAUGGAUCCAAGUGAUUGUAAUGCGAAUGUAGCAAUGAAUCCUUCUAGAAUAAUUGGUAGGUUAAUGUUGAUUAUCAAAAAUAUGUCUGUCAAAUAAAAGAUUCUCUUUUGAGCA